AAUAUUGGUCAAUGGGGGCAACCCUGAACCAGCCAAGUCGCGUGAAGGAUGAAGGUCUUAUGGAUUGUAAACUUCUUUUAUACAGGAAUAAAUUGGGGGACGGGUCCCCUUUUGCAUGUACUGUAUGAAUAAGGAUCGGCUAACUCCGUGCCAGCAGCCGCGGUAAUACGGAGGAUCCGAGCGUUAUCCGGAUUCAUUGGGUUUAAAGGGUGCGCAGGCGGGAUGUUAAGUCGGCGGUGAAAUUUUGCAGCUCAACUGUAAAAGUGCCUUCGGUACUGGCUUUCUUAAGUGUGGAUUAAGUAGGCGGAAUUUGUGGUGUAGCGGUGAAAUUCUUAGAUAUCACGAGGUCCUCCGAUUGCGCAGGCAGCUUACUAAGCCACAACUGACGCUCAUGCACGAAGGC
rnacentral:rRNA from 1 species